rnacentral:lncRNA from 1 species
AGCAAAUCUGCAGACGUCCUUCAAAUUUUCGAAAGUUUCACCUCCAAUCUCUUGUAGUGUGUCUAAUCUUCAGUAGUCGAACAAAACUCUCAAAUCUCUUGUAUAGAACAAAAGGGUUUCAAAUCAAGUAAAGAUUAAGCGUCAAUUUUGUAAGAGAAAGAAGAUGGGUUUUUUGUUUAUCGCCAUAAUUGCAACCUGAAGGUGGGUUAGGAGAAAGAAGAUGGUUUUUUUGGGUCUUCUGUGAAUCUCCCCUUUUUUUCUUCUGUA